UAGAGUAUGAUAGAGGAAAGCAGAAUUUCUAGUGUAGAGGUGAAAUUCGUAGAUAUUAGAAAGAAUACCAAUUGCGAAGGCAGCUUUCUGGAUCAUUACUGACGCUGAGGAACGAAAGCAUGGGUAGCGAAGAGGAUUAGAUACCCUCGUAGUCCAUGCCGUAAACGAUGUGUGUUAGACGUUGGAAAUUUAUUUUCAGUGUCGCAGCGAAAGCGUUAAACACACCGCCUGGGGAGUACGACCGCAAGGUUAAAACUCAAAUGAAUUGACGGGGACCCGCACAAGUAGUGGAGCAUGUGGUUUAAUUCGAAGAUACGCGCAGAACCUUACCAACACUUGACAUGUUCGUCGCGACUCUAAGAGAUUAGAGUUUUCGGUUCGGCCGGACGAAACACAGGUGCUGCAUGGCUGUCGUCAGCUCGUGUCGUGAGAUGUUGGGUUAAGUCCCGCAACGAGCGCAACCCUCACUUUUAGUUGCCAUCAUUUAGUUGGGCACUCUGAAAGAACUGCCAGUGAUAAGCUGGAGGAAGGUGGGGAUGACGUCAAGUCCUCAUGGCCCUUACGUGUUGGGCUACACACGUGCUACAAUGGCAUUUACAAUAGGAAGCAAGAUGGCGACAUCAAGCAAAUCCUAAAAAGAUGCCUCAGUUCGGAUUGUACUCUGCAACUCGAGUACAUGAAGCUGGAAUUACUAGUAAUCGCGGAUCAGCGCGCCGCGGUGAAUACGUUCCCGGGUCUUGUACACACCGCCCGUCACACCAUGGGAGUUGGUUCUACCUUAAGGCAAGGUUUUAAACCCUUGACUACGGUAUAGUCAGCGACUGGGGUGAAGUCGUAACAAGGUAAC
rnacentral:rRNA from 1 species